CGGGGCGUAGCGCAGCCUGGUAGCGCGCACCGUUCGGGACGGUGAGGUCGGAGGUUCAAAUCCUCUCGCCCCGACCA
rnacentral:tRNA from 1 species